AAUAAAGGACAUCUAUUACUACAUUGCAUGCAUAUUAAAUAAUAUACUUAUAGAUUUGAAGUACAAGAAGGACUCAACAGGUCAUUGCUAUCUUUGAAGAGGAAGGAGGCCACAGGCCAUGAAAUGUGGACAUUCACUAGAAACAGAAUAACUUAGCUGACAGCCUUCAAGGAAUGAGAAAUUCCUAGAGAUGUAUUAGUGCCCUCUGUUCAUAAUAUGGUUGGAGUUCUAGUGUCAUUUUGCCUAAUAUUAGACAACAACAGCAGAGUACAGUGAGACAUAAUUUCAGUUACUUUUCAAAAUGUUAACUUGGUUGCACUUUGAAUCUAACAUCUUCUAGGCAAUUGGCUUUCAACUGAGGAUUUAUAUUACUUACAUAUGAAGCCUUAUGAAUAUAUAAAUGUGUAGGACCUACUCCAGACUUACUGGGAUGGCAUAAUCUGCUACUCCUCGUGACUACCAUUUUUGCUCACAUUCCUUGGGAAGUACAUGGGUUUAGGUUGCCAGAGGGGAAAGUGCCUCUUGUGUGGCCUGGAAGCUCUAUGGUCCAACCCCACCCCCUCACAGAUGGCUCUGUGAACAUUGACCCUAGAGUCAGAGUCCUGGAGUGCUCCUUCCUUGAUGACACAAAGCCAUCCUAAUUACUGGCAGGUUUGCUGAAGAAUUCCCAGUAUUAAUUUGAUCUGGGAAGAGAGCUAGGGAUUUUCUCAGUCUCAAGGAAAUGCGUUCAGUUAAGCUGAAGGAAAG
rnacentral:lncRNA from 1 species